CCUACGGGAGGCAGCAGUCGAGAAUCAUUCACAAUGGGGGAAACCCUGAUGGUGCGACGCCGCGUGGGGGCAUGAAGGUCUUCGGAUUGUAAACCCCUGUCAUGUGGGAGCAAAUUAAAAAGAUAGUACCACAAGAGGAAGAGACGGCUAACUCUGUGCCAGCAGCCGCGGUAAUACAGAGGUCUCAAGCGUUGUUCGGAAUCACUGGGCGUAAAGCGUGCGUAGGCUGUUUCGUAAGUCGUGUGUGAAGGGCGCGGGCGCAACCCGCGGACGGCACAUGUUACUGCGAGACUAGAGUAAUGGAGGGGGAACCGGAAUGCUCGGUGUAGCAGUGAAAUGCGUAGAUAGCGAGAGGAACACUCGUGGCGAAGGCGGGUUCCUGGACAUUAACUGACGCUGAGGCACGAAGGCCAGGGGAGCGAAAGGGAUUAGAUACCCUUGUAGUC
rnacentral:rRNA from 1 species